UAUCCGGAAUUAUUGGGCGUAAAGGGCUCGUAGGCGGUUCGUCGCGUCCGGUGUGAAAGUCCAUCGCUUAACGGUGGAUCCGCGCCGGGUACGGGCGGGCUUGAGUGCGGUAGGGGAGACUGGAAUUCCCGGUGUAACGGUGGAAUGUGUAGAUAUCGGGAAGAACACCAAUGGCGAAGGCAGGUCUCUGGGCCGUCACUGACGCUGAGGAGCGAAAGCGUGGGGAGCGAACAGGAUUAGAUACCCUGGUAGUCCACGCCGUAAACGGUGGAUGCUGGAUGUGGGGACCAUUCCACGGUCUCCGUGUCGGAGCCAACGCGUUAAGCAUCCCGCCUGGGGAGUACGGCCGCAAGGCUAAAACUC
rnacentral:rRNA from 1 species